UACCAGCACCCCGAGUGGUCGGGACGUUUAUUGGGCCUAAAGCAUCCGUAGCCGGUUCUACAAGUCUUCCGUUAAAUCCACCUGCUUAACAGAUGGGCUGCGAAGAUACUAUAGAGCUAGGAGGCGGGAGAGGCAAGCGGGUACUCGAUGGGUAGGGGUAAAAUCCGUUGAUCCAUUGAAGACCACCAGUGGCGAAGGCGGCUUGCCAGAACGCGCUCGACGGUGAGGGAUGAAAGCUGGGG
rnacentral:rRNA from 1 species